CAGCAGCCGCGGGAAUACGAAGGGGGCUAGCGUUGCUCGGAAUGACUGGGCGUAAAGGGCGCGUAGGCGGUUUGUUAAGACAGAUGUGAAAUCCCCGGGCUUAACCUGGGAACUGCAUUUGUGACUGGCAAGCUAGAGUAUGGCAGAGGGGGGUGGAAUUCCGCGUGUAGCAGUGAAAUGCGUAGAUAUGCGGAGGAACACCGAUGGCGAAGGCAGCCCCUGGGCCAAUACUGACGCUCAUGCACGAAAGCGUGGGGAGCAAACAGGAUUAGAGACCCGAGUAGUCCCUGUCUCUUAUAAC
rnacentral:rRNA from 1 species